rnacentral:tRNA from 6 species
GCCGAAGUGGCGGAACUGGCAGACGCACAGGACUUAAAAUCCUGCGGGACUUAUACUCCCGUACCGGUUCGAUUCCGGUCUUCGGCACCA